UACGUAGGUGGCAAGCGUUGUCCGGAUUUACUGGGCGUAAAGAGCGCGCAGGCGGCCGAGUAAGUCGAAUGUGAAAGCCCCCGGCUCAACUGGGGAACGUCAUUCGAUACUGUUCGGCUCGAAGAUAGGAGAGGGAAGCGGAAUUUCAGGUGUAGUGGUGAAAUGCGUAGAUAUCUGAAGGAACACCAGUGGCGAAGGCGGCUUUCUGGCCUAUUCUUGACGUUGAGGCGCGAAAGCUAGGGGAGCGAACGGG
rnacentral:rRNA from 1 species